AGGGAAAGACAUUGAGGGAGUUGAUCAUCUUUGAAUUAGAUAGAAAAAGGGAUCACUUUGGUAUUGGGAGGUGCAGACCCUCGAAGUUCUGCAGUACUAUUCUGUAAUACAAAGGUUUAUUGGUGGUUGAUCUAGGCUGAGCAAUAUUUUGGGUCAAGAAGAAUGAGUGAAGAGAUGAAGUUUGAGUGGGUUGUUGCAUUUGCAUUGAGAGGAGAUGCUCUUGAUUGGUGGAUUUGUUGGAAGGAGAGUCGUCCAAAUACUUGUUGGUGGAAUUUUGUAAAGGUCAUUCUCAAGAAAUUUCAACCAGAAGUUUGGGAUUGGCUACUGGAGUCUGAAAACGAAACACAUGAAAUCCAAGGCAGCGAUGAAAUUCAAGAACCAAUAGCAUCUCCAACUGAAGAAAAGAUUGGUGGUAAAGUUGAAGACUCACAAAUCCAACAAUACAGUGAAAAAAAAGUUUGUAAAGUGGAUAUCAAAUCUGAUUGUGGGCGACAAAGUGAAAAAUACAUAUUCAUUAAUGACUGCCAGUGAAGCAGAGGUCCAGAGAAGUGACGGAGAGUCGGUUAUUUCACCACAGGCAAAAGACUCACUAUUAUCGGUGUUUGCUACUAUUCCUAAGAUAAAGUCUAGAAACAAGAAACUUCCACCACCGGUGCCACUGUAGCCACAACAACUAGUCACGAAAAGACUGUCAUUAGCAAGGAAAUUUCCUAUUCAACCUUUAUUUUACAAAUUAUGGGUUCCGGGAGGAUACAUUUUUCCUACCAUGUAUUUCUUUCACCUUGAGGACAAGGUGAAUCUUUAGGGGAGAGUAUUGUUACACUCUUGAGUUUUGUAACUGAUAUUAAAUUAUUAAGAGAAUUAGUGGAUAAUUAUUAGAAUUGUUAUAUUAUUAAUUAAGAGUGUUUAGGUUUAGAAUAGAGGAUGACAUUGAGGGAAUUGAUCAUCUUGGAAUUGGAUAGGAAAAGGGAUCAUUUUGGCAUUGGGAGGUGCAAACCCUCGAAAUUCUGCAGUACUAUUCUGUAAUACAAAGGUAUUUCCCCCAUUUUCUUUAAUAUAUCAAUUGGUUUCUAU